UGCGGAGGGUGCGAACGUUGUUCGGAAUCACUGGGCUUAAAGGGCGCGUAGGCGGGUUCGCAAGUCUGUGGUGAAAUCCUCCGGCUCAACCGGAGAACUGCCUCGGAUACUGCGGGUCUCGAGGGUGAUAGGGGUAUGCGGAACUAUCGGUGGAGCGGUGAAAUGCGUUGAUAUCGAUAGGAACUCCGGUGGCGAAGGCGGCAUACUGGAUCACUUCUGACGCUGAGGCGCGAAAGCCAGGGGAGCAAACGGG
rnacentral:rRNA from 1 species